UGUCUGCUAUGUAGAAUGUUUAUCAAAAAGGGUCUAUAUGGCACAAUCUACAGCACAUUCUGAAGAACUCUUUCAUGAUGCAAAAAAGCCCUUUAAUCAUGCAAAGGGUUGUUAAAUUGUUCAUGGUUCUUUUUAGAACAAUUUUCCUUACUAAAGAACCCUUGAAGAACCAUCUUUUUUGAAGAGUGUGGAGCUAAAAUCUUGUGGUUUUGAAACCUGUCAAGACUAUAAAAAGCUACUCUUUAGUCUGGGUUUUUAGCCUUGCCCUCUGGUCCCAGACAAGACCCCAAACUUCUCAGAAGGUCACAACAUAUCUUCUCAAAAGGUUCUCAGAAAGUCACAACUUAUCACCACUCACUAACAUUUCAUUCUGUGCUGCCAGCAUAUCUAGACAGUCUCAGUCCUGGUCUGUGGAGGAGAGAGAUCGACCUCUGCCUUCUACUCUCCACCCAGUGGGAACUGAGACAACGACAUCCCAGCAGCAGCUCUCACACCCCAGUAUCUGUCUCUGAAGAGCCUCCUGGGAACCACUUGGCAGCUUGAUUUUAAGCACUACUACCAAAGCCACUUGCAUGGGGCAUGAAGUUGCCAGUCAAAGUAAGCAGUGCUUGCUCAUGUUGAGCGAUGAAACACAUCAGACGGCUUGGUAUGCACUGACGGGACAACGGCAAUACUUUGCAAAGACAAGGUUCAAACAGACAGGGAAUCAAAAGUGGUUCUUCUAGGGCAUGGAACCAAUGGUGCAGAGCAAAAACACCACAUUUGGGUUUGAGGAACACGACCAGAUCUCAACUUGUGUACCAGAAAGGAAUCGUUGCAUGAUGUUAUAGAAGGACUACCUUUGGUUUUAUAAAAACCUUUCAGUAGAUAGCUUAAAGAACCUAAUGGUACAUAAGGCUUCUAGAAACAGCUCAAGCAUCUGGUUUUCAAAGUUGGUCCUUUUAAGGAACCAAAAAUGGUUCUUCUAUGGCAUCAUUUUGUGAUUUAAAAAAUGAUUUUUUGUAGUGUAUACAAAAUGACAUCUCAAUAAACAUCUCUGACACAAA